rnacentral:rRNA from 1 species
GACGAACGCUGGCGGCGCGCCUAACACAUGCAAGUCGAACGAGCGAGAGAGAGCUUGCUUUCUCGAGCGAGUGGCGAACGGGUGAGUAACGCGUGAGGAACCUGCCUCAAAGAGGGGGACAACAGUUGGAAACGACUGCUAAUACCGCAUAAGACCACAGAGCCGCAUGGCUCGGGGGUCAAAGGAGAAAUCCGCUGUAAGAUGGCUUCGCGUCCGAUUAGACAGUUGGCGGGGUAACGGCCCACCAAGGCGACGAUCAGUAGCCGGACUGAGAGGUUGAACGGCCACAUUGGGACUGAGACACGGCCCAG